UACAGGGGGGGCAAGCGUUGUUCGGAAUUACUGGGCGUAAAGGGCUCGUAGGCGGCCAACUAAGUCACACGUGAAAUCCCCAGCUUAACCUGGGAACUGCGUGUGAUACUGGAUGGCUUGAAUUCGGGAGAGGGAUGCAGAAUUCCAGGUGUAGCGGUGAAAUGCGUAGAUAUCUGGAGGAAUACCGGUGGCGAAGGCGGCAUCCUGGACCGACAUUGACGCUGAGGAGCGAAAGCUAGGGGAGCAAACGGG
rnacentral:rRNA from 1 species